rnacentral:rRNA from 1 species
ACGGCAGCACAGUAAGAGCUUGCUCUUAUGGGUGGCGAGUGGCGGACGGGUGAGGAAUACAUCGGAAUCUACUUUUUCGUGGGGGAUAACGUAGGGAAACUUACGCUAAUACCGCAUACGACCUACGGGUGAAAGCAGGGGACCUUCGGGCCUUGCGCGAUUGAAUGAGCCGAUGUCGGAUUAGCUAGUUGGCGGGGUAAAGGCCCACCAAGGCGACGAUCCGUAGCUGGUCUGAGAGGAUGAUCAGCCACACUGGAACUGAGACACGGUCCAGACUCCUACGGGAGGCAGCAGUGGGGAAUAUUGGACAAUGGGCGCAAGCCUGAUCCAGCCAUACCGCGUGGGUGAAGAAGGCCUUCGGGUUGUAAAGCCCUUUUGUUGGGAAAGAAAUCCAGCCGGCUAAUACCUGGUUGGGAUGACGGUACCCAAAGAAUAAGCACCGGCUAACUUCGUGCCAGCAGCCGCGGUAAUACGAAGGGUGCAAGCGUUACUCGGAAUUACUGGGCGUAAAGCGUGCGUAGGUGGUUGUUUAAGUCUGUUGUGAAAGCCCUGGGCUCAACCUGGGAACUGCAGUGGAAACUGGACGACUAGAGUGUGGUAGAGGGUAGCGGAAUUCCUGGUGUAGCAGUGAAAUGCGUAGAGAUCAG